rnacentral:tRNA from 1 species
GGAGAGAUGUCCGAGCGGCUGAAGGAGCACGCCUGGAAAGCGUGUGUACGUUUAUAGCGUACCCAGGGUUCGAAUCCCUGUCUCUCCGCCA